CUGCUGCCUCCCGUAGGAGUCUGGUCCGUGUCUCAGUACCAGUAUGGGGGACCUUCCUCUCAGAACCCCUACGCAUCGUCGCCUUGGUGGGCCGUUACCCCGCCAACUAGCUAAUGCGACGCAUGACCAUCCGUAGCCGGAAUCGCUUCCUUUAAACCCGAGGAGAUGCCUCCUCGGGUUGUUACGCGGUAUUAGACGGAAUUUCUUCCGCUUAUCCCCCUGCUACGGGCAGGUUUCAUACGUGUUACUCACCCGUGCGCCGGUCGCCGGCGGGAGUA
rnacentral:rRNA from 1 species